CAGCCGCCACGGUAAUACGUAGGUGGCAAGCGUUGUCCGGAAUUAUUGGGCGUAAAGGGCUCGCAGGCGGUUUCUUAAGUCUGAUGUGAAAGCCCCCGGCUCAACCGGGGAGGGUCAUUGUAAACUGGGAAACUUGAGUGCAGAAGAGGAGAGUGGAAUUCCACGUGUAGCGGUGAAAUGCGUAGAGAUGUGGAGGAACACCAGUGGCGAAGGCGACUCUCUGGUCUGUAACUGACGCUCAUGCACGAAAGCGUGGGGAGCAAACAGGAUUAGAUACCCCGGUAGUCCCUGUCUCUUAUAC
rnacentral:rRNA from 1 species